UACGGGAGGCAGCAGUAGGGAAUAUUGGGCAAUGGGCGAGAGCCUGACCCAGCCAUGCCGCGUGCAGGAAGAAGGCUUUCUGAGUCGUAAACUGCUUUUGACAGGGAAGAAUAAGCUGGUCGUGACCAGUGAUGACGGUACCUGCAGAAUAAGCACCGGCUAACUCCGUGCCAGCAGCCGCGGUAAUACGGAGGGUGCGAGCGUUGUCCGGAUUUAUUGGGUUUAAAGGGUGCGUAGGCGGCUUUUUUAAGUCUGGGGUGAAAGCCCGCUGCUCAACAGCGGAACUGCCCUGGAUACUGGAGAGCUUGAGUACAGACGAGGUUGGCGGAAUGGACAGAGUAGCGGUGAAAUGCAUAGAUACUGUCCAGAACCCGAUUGCGAAGGCAGCUGACUAGGCUGUUACUGACGCUGAGGCACGAAAGCGUGGGGA
rnacentral:rRNA from 1 species